rnacentral:rRNA from 1 species
AUUGAACGCUGGCGGCAGGCUUAACACAUGCAAGUCGAGCGGAGAUGAGGUGCUUGCACCUUAUCUUAGCGGCGGACGGGUGAGUAAUGCUUAGGAAUCUGCCUAUCAGUGGGGGACAACAUUCCGAAAGGAAUGCUAAUACCGCAUACGCCCUACGGGGGAAAGCAGGGGAUCUUCGGACCUUGCGCUAAUAGCUGAGCCUAAGUCGGAUUAGCUAGUUGGUGGGGUAAAGGCCUACCAAGGCGACGAUCUGUAGCGGGUCUGAGAGGAUGAGCCGCCACACUGGGACUGAGACACGGCCCAGACUCCUACGGGAGGCAGCAGUGGGGAAUAUUGGACAAUGGGCGGAAGCCUGAUCCAGCCAUGCCGCGUGUGUGAAGAAGGCCUUUUGGUUGUAAAGCACUUUAAGCGAGGAGGAGGCUACCUGGAUUAAUACUCUAGGAUAGUGGACGUUACUCGCAGAAUAAGCACCGGCUAACUCUGUGCCAGCCGCCGCUGUAACAC